GAUGAGAAUGAGGGUUUUUUCUUAAAUAGCAGAAGGGAAGGAAGAAGACAGGGAGAAGAAAGAAAGAAAGGAGAAGAAAAAAGAAGGAUAAUGUAUUUUUGUUUUUUUUUUUAUAUAGAAUAGAUUAUGAUGAAGAUAAAUUAUUUUGGUAGAAUUGUGUAGUUUGCUUAUUGUUAUUUUUAUGUUAUUUUUAAUUUAUUUUGUUAGUUAGUAUUAUAAAUUAUUUGUUUAGUUUAAUGUUUAUUUUGAU
rnacentral:lncRNA from 1 species